CUUUAGCGUUAGUGAUUGCAGUGAAAAUCCUUUUUUGAGGUACGAAAAAAAGAUUGCAACGUAAAGCACGACCGCAG
rnacentral:sRNA from 1 species